rnacentral:ncRNA from 1 species
UAAGAAGAACUAAAUGAAAAAAAAAAAUGUCCCUAUCUACUAUCUAGCGAAACCACUGCCAAGGGAACGUGCUUGGAAAAAUUAGCGGGGAAAGAAGACACUGUUGAGCUUGACUCUAGUCUGGCACUGUAAGGAGACAUGAGAGGUGUAGCAUAAGUGGGAGAUGGCAACAUCGCCGGUAAAAUAUCACUACUUUCAUCGUUUCCUUACUUACUCGGUUAGGCGGAACGCGUGCUCCGAGGUCCUCGUGCUCCGGCGGUAACGGUGUUCUAGAACCAAGCGUGUCAGAGUGGCGAGAGGCCUAGGCCGAUCGCCGUUAAUACUCCCGCGUGAUCCGAUUCGAGGACACUGUUAGGCGGGGAGUUUGACUGGGGCGGUACAUCUGUCACAGAAUAACGCAGGUGUCCUAAGGCCAGCUCAGCGAGGACAGAAACCUCGCGUAAAACAAAAGGGCAAAAGCUGGCUUGAUCUCGAUG